rnacentral:rRNA from 1 species
AUGUGGCACAAGACCGACAAUACCUUGCCGGUGAUGGUCAAUGUCCGGCAGACAGGCAGCAAAAAGGUUCUGGUGCUGCACACCAACAAGAACUUCGACCAGCAGAGGACCAACUGGGUGAUGCUGGAGCAAGAUAAGGAGCGGGAGCUGGUCAUCUGCAAGAUUUUCUACCAGACGAACACUAGAAUUCUCUCAUUUAUUGAGCAGGCCUAG